rnacentral:rRNA from 1 species
CCUACGGGGGGCAGCAGUAGGGAAUAUUGCUCAAUGGGGGAAACCCUGAAGCAGCAACGCCGCGUGGAGGAUGAAGGUUUUAGGAUUGUAAACUCCUUUUGUUAGAGAAGUCCAUGACGGUAUCUAACGAAUAAGCACCGGCCAACUCCGGGCCAGCAGCCGCGGUAACACGGAGGGCGCAAGCGUUAUUCGGAAUCACUGGGCGUAAAGGGGGCGUAGGCGGGGUAAUAAGUCAGAUGUGAAAUCCUGUGGUUUAACUCCAGAACUGCAUUUGAAACUGUUACUCUGGAGUGUGGGAGAGGUAGGUGGAAUUCUUGGUGUAGUGGUGAAAUCCGUAGAGAUCAAGAGGAAUACUCAUUGCGAAGGCGACCUGCUGGAGCAUUACUGACGCUGAUGCACGAAAGCGUGGGGAGCAAACAGGAUUAGAUACCCCAGUAGUC